rnacentral:rRNA from 1 species
CCUACGGGUGGCAGCAGUGGGGGAUAUUGCACAAUGGGGGGAACCCUGAUGCAGCGACGCCGCGUGAGUGAAGAAGCGCCUCGGCGCGUAAAGCCCUGUCAUCAGGGAAGAAAAUGACGGUACCUGAGUAAGAAGCCCCGGCUAACUACGUGCCCGCAGACGCGGUAAUACGUAGGGGGCAAGCGUGAUCCGGAAUUACUGGGUGGAAAGGUAGCGUAGACGGUGUUGUAAGUCUGGAGUGAAAGGCGGGGGGCCAACCCCCGGACUGCUCUGGAAACUAUGUGACUGGAGUGCAGGAGAGGUGAGCGGAAUUCCUAGUGUAGCGGUGAAAUGCGUAGAUAUUAGGAGGAACACCAGUGGCGAAGGCGGCUCACUGGACUGUAACUGACGUUGAGGCUCGAAAGCGUGGGGAGCAAACAGGAUUAGAUACCCCAGUAGUC